rnacentral:rRNA from 1 species
AUUGAACGCUGGCGGCAUGCUUUACACAUGCAAGUCGAACGGUAACAGGCCGCAAGGUGCUGACGAGUGGCGCGCGGGUGAGUAAUGCAUCGGAACGUGCCCAGUCGUGGGGGAUAACUACUCGAAAGAGUAGCUAAUACCGCAUACGAUCUAUGGAUGAAAGCGGGGGACCGUAAGGCCUCGCGCGAUUGGAGCGGCCGAUGUCAGAUUAGGUAGUUGGUGGGGUAAAGGCUCACCAAGCCAACGAUCUGUAGCUGGUCUGAGAGGACGACCAGCCACACUGGGACUGAGACACGGCCCAGACUCCUACGGGAGGCAGCAGUGGGGAAUUUUGGACAAAGGGCGCAAGCCUGAUCCAGCAAUGCCGCGUGCAGGAAGAAGGCCUUCGGGUUGUAAACUGCUUUUGUACGGAACGAAACGGCUCUGGUUAAUACCCGGGGCUAAUGACGGUACCGUAAGAAUAAGCACCGGCUAACUACGUG